GACGAACCGUACGAACGUUAUUCGGAAUCACUGGGCUUAAAGGGUGCGUAGGCGGUCGGGUAAGUCUGAUGUGAAAUCUCACAGCUUAACUGUGAAACUGCAUUGGAUACUAUCCGGCUAGAGGAAUGGAGGGGAGACUGGAAUACUUGGUGUAGCAGUGAAAUGCGUAGAUAUCAAGUGGAACACCAGUGGCGAAGGCGAGUCUCUGGACAUUUCCUGACGCUGAGGCACGAAAGCCAGGGGAGCAAACGGG
rnacentral:rRNA from 1 species